UUGUAAAGCUCUGUGGGAAGGGGCGAAAAACUCAGACCUAAUACGUCUGAGGUUGACGGUACCUUCUUAGCAAGCACCGGCUAACUCUGUGCCAGCAGCCGCGGUAAGACAGAGGGUGCAAACGUUGCUCGGAUUUACUGGGCGUAAAGCGCACGCAGGCGGCUAGGUAAGUCUGACGUGAAAUCUCCCGGCUUAACCGGGAGCGGUCGUUGGAAACUACUUGGCUUGAGGCGAUGAGAGGGGUGUGGAAUUCCCGGUGUAGUGGUGGAAUGCGUAGAUAUCGGGAGGAACAUCAGUGGCGAAAGCGGCACCCUGGCAUUAGCCUGACGCUCAGGUGCGAAAGCGUGGGGAGCGAACGGGAUUAGAUACCCCGGUAGUCCACGCCGUAAACGAUGAACACUAGGUGUGGGGUGGUCUCAAAAUCAUCUGUGCCGAAGUAAACGCGAUAAGUGUUCCGCCUGGGGAGUACGGCCGCAAGGCUAAAACUCAAAGGAAUUGACGGGGGCCCGCACAAGCAGCGGAGC
rnacentral:rRNA from 1 species